rnacentral:rRNA from 1 species
GACGAACGCUGGCGGCGUGCUUAACACAUGCAGGUCGAGCGGUAAGGCCCUUUCGGGGGUACACGAGCGGCGAACGGGUGAGUAACACGUGGGUGACCUGCCCUUAGCUCUGGGAUAAGCCUGGGAAACUGGGUCUAAUACCGGAUAUGACUCCAUGACGCAUGUUGUGGGGUGGAAAGCCUUGUGCGGCUAGGGAUGGGCCCGCGGCCUAUCAGCUUGUUGGUGGGGUGAUGGCCUACCAAGGCGACGACGGGUAGCCGGCCUGAGAGGGCGACCGGCCACACUGGGACUGAGACACGGCCCAGACUCCUACGGGAGGCAGCAGUGGGGAAUCUUGCGCAAUGGGCGAAAGCCUGACGCAGCGACGCCGCGUGAGGGAUGACGGCCU